ensembl:snoRNA
GUCCAGGGUGAAACCUAAUCUGAGUAAACAUCUAUGGAUGAUAAAUGUGGAUAUGCUGAGAAGACG